rnacentral:rRNA from 1 species
UACGGGGGGGGCAAGCGUUGUCCGGAAUUAUUGGGCGUAAAGAGCUUGUAGGCGGUUUGUCGCGUCUGCUGUGAAAUUUCGGGGCUCAACCCCGAACUUGCAGUGGGUACGGGCAGACUAGAGUGUGGUAGGGGAGACUGGAAUUCCUGGUGUAGCGGUGAAAUGCGCAGAUAUCAGGAGGAACACCGAUGGCGAAGGCAGGUCUCUGGGCCACUACUGACGCUGAGAAGCGAAAGCAUGGGGAGCGAACAGG